AUUAUCCUACGGGGGGCAGCAGUGAGGAAUAUUGGUCAAUGGGCGGGAGCCUGAACCAGCCAAGUCGCGUGAGGGAAGACGGUGCUAUGGAUUGUAAGCCUCUUUAGGCGGGGAGCAAUGCCGGGCACGCGUGCCCGGAGGGAGAGUACCCGCAGAAUAAGCAUCGGCUAACUCCGUGCCAGCAGCCGCGGUAAUACGGAGGAUGCGAGCGUUAUCCGGAUUUAUUGGGUUUAAAGGGUGCGUAGGCGGAUUUUUAAGUCAGCGGUAAAAUGUCCGGGUUCACCCCGGGCCGGCCGUU
rnacentral:rRNA from 1 species